UACGUAGGGACCGAGCGUUGUCCGGAAUCAUUGGGCGUAAAGAGCGUGUAGGCGGCCAACUAAGUCCUGCGUGAAAUCUCGGGGCUCAACCCCGAGCGGUCGUGGGAAACUGGUUGGCUAGAGUGCGGGAGAGGAGAGUGGAAUUCCUGGUGUAGCGGUGAAAUGCGCAGAUAUCAGGAAGAACACCCGUGGCGAAGGCGGCUCUCUGGAACGCAACUGACGCUGAGACGCGAAAGCGUGGGGAGCAAACAGG
rnacentral:rRNA from 1 species